GACAGCUCGCUCAGCUGGCUGU
rnacentral:miRNA from 1 species